rnacentral:rRNA from 1 species
UACGGAGGGAGCUAGCGUUGUUCGGAUUUACUGGGCGUAAAGCGCACGUAGGCGGCGUCGUAAGUCAGGGGUGAAAUCCCGGAGCUCAACUCCGGAACUGCCCUUGAAACUGCAAUGCUAGAAUCUUGGAGAGGCGAGUGGAAUUCCGAGUGUAGAGGUGAAAUUCGUAGAUAUUCGGAAGAACACCAGUGGCGAAGGCGACUCGCUGGACAAGUAUUGACGCUGAGGUGCGAAAGCGUGGGGAGCAAACAGG